rnacentral:rRNA from 1 species
GACGAACGCUGGCGGCGUGCUUAACACAUGCAAGUCGAACGGAAAGGCCCUGCUUUUGUGGGGUGCUCGAGUGGCGAACGGGUGAGUAACACGUGAGUGACCUGCCCUUGACUUUGGGAUAACUUCAGGAAACUGGGGCUAAUACCGGAUAGGAGCUCCUGCUGCAUGGUGGUGUUGGAAAAUUUUCGGCGGUUGGGUAAGGUCUCGGGGCUUAUAAGUUUGUGGGGGGGGAAGGGCUUCACCAAGGUUUUGCGGGGUACCGGCCGUGAGGGGGUGACCGCCACCAUGGGGCCUGGGAUCCGGCCCAGAUCCCUCCGGGAGGAAGAGGGGGGGAUUAUUGACCAAUGGGCCGAAGCCUGAUGCGGCAACGCCGCGUGCGGGAUGACGGCCUUCGGGUUUUAACCCGUUUUGGCCUGUGACGAAGCGUGAGUGACGGUACUGGGUGAAGAAGCACCGGCUAACUACGUG